UAGGGAAUCUUCGGCAAUGGACGGAAGUCUGACCGAGCAACGCCGCGUGAGUGAAGAAGGUUUUCGGAUCGUAAAGCUCUGUUGUAAGAGAAGAACGAGUGUGAGAGUGGAAAGUUCACACUGUGACGGUAUCUUACCAGAAAGGGACGGCUAACUACGUGCCAGCAGCCGCGGUAAUACGUAGGUCCCGAGCGUUGUCCGGAUUUAUUGGGCGUAAAGCGAGCGCAGGCGGUUAGAUAAGUCUGAAGUUAAGGGCUGUGGCUUAACCAUAGUAGGCUUUGGAAACUGUUUAACUUGAGUGCAAGAGGGGAGAGUGGAAUUCCAUGUGUAGCGGUGAAAUGCGUAGAUAUAUGGAGGAACACCGGUGGCGAAAGCGGCUCUCUGGCUUGUAACUGACGCUGAGGCUCGAAAGCGUGGGGAGCAAACAGGAUUAGAUACCCUGGUAGUCCACGCUGUAAACGAUGAGUGCUAGGUGUUAGACCCUUUCCGGGGUUUAGUGCCGUAGCUAACGCAUUAAGCACUCCGCCUGGGGAGUACGACCGCAAGGUUG
rnacentral:rRNA from 1 species